rnacentral:lncRNA from 1 species
UUUCGCGUAGGAGAGACGGCGUAGGGUCCAGCGCGUACGGUUGGAUGGGCCGGUUUGAUUGGAAUUAGAAGUUAUAACUGAAUCGCGUGUUAAGGGUCUGGUUCAAGCCGUCUUUCGUUGGGCCGGACUGGUCCGGUCUGGUCAACCGGAGUCAUGUUUACUUUAUUUUUGAACGGCCCUCUGAUUUGACUAAUCUAGAAGGGAGAGGAUCAGCUGUCUGGAAUUGGACAGCUAUGAACCUCAUCAAUUGGUUGGCAACUGGUGGAACUGGGACCCACAAUACAUCUCUGCCAAUGAUAGCUGGACAUAUCAGCAUGGAAGGAUGGAUGCCGUCUUGAAAAGAGGAAGUUUUAAGCUUGCUCGAUUACGGAGUGUGCUUAAAUUUAAUCUAACGACUCGAGAAAUGGUC